rnacentral:tRNA from 1 species
GGGCCCGUCGUCUAGCAUGGAUCAGGACGCUGAAUCAUUUCGAUGCGCAGGCCUUCGGAGCCGGAGAUCCGGGGUUCGAAUCCUCGCGGGCCCG